rnacentral:tRNA from 1 species
GCCGCCUUAGCUCAGCCUGGUUAGAGCAUCUGUCUUGUAAACAGAAGGUCGUCGGUUCGAAUCCGACAGGCGGCU